rnacentral:rRNA from 1 species
GCAGUCGAGCGGAACGAGUUGUCUGAACCUUCGGGGAACGAUAACGGCGUCGAGCGGCGGACGGGUGAGUAAUGCCUGGGAAAUUGCCCUGAUGUGGGGGAUAACCAUUGGAAACGAUGGCUAAUACCGCAUAAUAGCUUCGGCUCAAAGAGGGGGACCUUCGGGCCUCUCGCGUCAGGAUAUGCCCAGGUGGGAUUAGCUAGUUGGUGAGGUAAGGGCUCACCAAGGCGACGAUCCCUAGCUGGUCUGAGAGGAUGAUCAGCCACACUGGAACUGAGACACGGUCCAGACUCCUACGGGAGGCAGCAGUGGGGAAUAUUGCACAAUGGGCGCAAGCCUGAUGCAGCCAUGCCGCGUGUAUGAAGAAGGCCUUCGGGUUGUAAAGUACUUUCAGCAGUGAGGAAGGUGGUGUACUUAAUACGUGCAUCAUUUGACGUUAGCUGCAGAAGAAGCACCGGCUAACUCCGUGCCAGCAGCCGCGGUAAUACGGAGGGUGCGAGCGUUAAUCGGAAUUACUGGGCGUAAAGCGCAUGCAGGUGGUUUGUUAAGUCAGAUGUGAAAGCCCGGGGCUCAACCUCGGAAUUGCAUUUGAAACUGGCAGACUAGAGUACUGUAGAGGGGGGUAGAAUUUCAGGUGUAGCGGUGAAAUGCGUAGAGAUCUGAAGGAAUACCGGUGGCGAAGGCGGCCCCCUGGACAGAUACUGACACUCAGAUGCGAAAGCGUGGGGAGCAAACAGGAUUAGAUACCC